UACAGAGGGUGCGAGCGUUAAUCGGAAUUACUGGGCGUAAAGGGUGCGUAGGUUGUUCUGUAAGUCAGAUGUGAAAACCCGGGGCUUAACUCCGGAAGGUCGUUUGAUACUGCAGAGCUAGAGUUUUGAAGGGGACAGUGGAAUUUCCGGUGUAGCGGUGAAAUGCGUAGAUAUCGGAAGGAACACCAGAGGCGAAGGCGACUGUCUGGUCAAAAAACUGACACUGAGGCACGAUAGCGUGGGUAGCAAACAGG
rnacentral:rRNA from 1 species